rnacentral:rRNA from 1 species
CACGUAGGGUCCGAGCGUUGUCCGGAAUUACUGGGCGUGAAGCGCGCGCAGGCGGUCCAUUCAGUCGCUGGUGAAAGCCCCACGCUCAACGUGGGAAGGUCCGGCGAGACGGGUGGACUGGAGGCAGGGAGAGGUCGGUGGAAUUCCGGGUGUAGUGGUGAAAUGCGUAGAGAUCCGGAGGAACACCAGAGGCGAAGGCGGCCGACUGGACCUGACCUGACGCUGAGGCGCGAAGGCGUGGGGAGCGAACGGG